UUUUGUGGUACCCUCAAAUGAAUAAUAGCCAUUAAUUUUCGUCCAUCCAAUGGUCCAAAUAGUUUCAUACCACAGUCCAAAACUUGAGAGGUAUGUUACAUACCUCUGGAAUUUUUCGCACCUGAGUAAAAAAAAAGGUAGACGGGCCUAGCCCAAUAGACAGGCACAACCCAGUAGACUGGUCCAGCCCGAUGAGCUGCCGACCAUAGCGGGUACGAGUGGGGAUUCCGUUCUUCCGCCUGCGAGAGGUUCCGCCGGCGCCGCCGCUCUGUCCAUUCCCCAACUCUGGCGCCACCGCCCCAGAUGUAGAGGAACAAGCCGGUGGGCAGCGACUCCUCGGCCGACUUCGUCACCUUCUCGGCCGCCUUCCUCACCAUCACCGCGGAGGAUCUCGGCCUCCCCGUCCCCAUCCCCGAGUCCACGUCUGCGUUGCGGUCGGCGUCCUGGUCGUCCUCGCCAUGGACGUGGCCGACUGCUGCUACAACCUGUCCUUGACGGACCUGACGCUGUCGGCGCCCUCCCGCACGGCCUUCGCCGCCCGCGCACCAACCCAUCUGAUGUACUACCUACCCCUGUCGGCGGCGGCGGCGGCGGCGUUGCCUCCCGCGUGGAUCCAAGAGCGCUGGCGUCAUCCUCGUUGCUCGCCAAGGCCAAGCCCACCACACGGUUCUUAACAUUCAGUUGCUUAACUCUGUUGCCAUUUUUUCAUUGCUAGCAUGUACUUCCAGCUGAUUCUCUAUGGACUGCAGUUCCUUGACAUUCAGUCCGGAUAGAUCUUCUCCCAUCAGCUUCCUGUAACAAGUCAAUGUUAAAAUAUUGUUACGCUGCAUUAUGUCUCAGUUACGGUUAGGCAAAAUGUUCUUGUGAUCAGAGGUUUAGCAUUAUAUUUUCUCUAGUAAAUAUUUUAGUGUCAGAGUAUAACCUGCUAUAUGGACAGUCAAAGUCACAAAUUUAUAAUAUAAUUAUAAACAAUACACCAAUUUGUCCUAGUUUAGAUAACUGGAUCUUAGCGACAUCGAUUUCACAUUGUGAUUCAACAAAUGAUUCUUUACCUAGUACAACAGAUAUUAGAACAUUGUUUGUAUCUAAAAGUGUUACAGGGUGUGGAUGAUAAGAUGAUUGCAGUACAUCAUGUGCUUGGUGAAGUUGAAUUACUUUCUUCCUACUAGAUACAGGCUCAGAACUAGAAUUGGUUUCUUUGUAAUUUCAGCCAUUUGUGGGACCUAUAUUGGCAACUCAAUCGUAACAGAUACUAAUACCCAGCUAUAGGACCACCAUGCUUUUAGGUAGAGUAUGGAAGCUGAGUUCAAAGCUGCACACUGUAGUUACUGUGUAACAGUCUUCAUUUAAAAGCCAGUCAGUUAGUUAAAUUUAAAAAGUAGCUUUCCAUGAUCAUUUUUUACCGUGCCUCUUUGGUGCCUUUGAUGAGCUCUGUGUCUGUUUUAUAGUCUUAUUACUUUGGAACCUGCAUCACACUAAUUGCAGCGGUGGUUAAGGUACAUUUACAGUACAAGCCAUUAUAUUGAUCCUAUCAAAAUGCAACAUAUGUUUAAAUAAGCCAUGAUCUGUUCCUGCGAUGACAUAAUUCACGUCAAGAUAUAACAAUUUCAGAAUAUCAAAUUGUGAGUAAUUUAGUUUGUCAAAAAAUAUCGGGAAACUCGCAGUUAGACACUAUGUACUCGGAGGCUUAACAAACCUGAAUCGAGGUAGUGUCAAAUACUAGUGACUAUCUUUGGGAAUUAUAUAUCUACCAGAAGGAAGAGAGGAGCAUCAUCGUACAUUGACAAUAUGUGAGGGAUGCCACCGUGCUGUUAUCAUUGCAGGAUGGUAAUUUUCUGUACCUGUGUUGUUUCUUAUUUUCUUGUGGUCAAGGACAAAGCGUUUAAAUUUUACUUUUCUUGUAGUGGAAAUUUCAAAGAGAUGAUAAGUAAUGUACCAUUAGUUUGCCAUGUAUGUCCAAGGGGGAGUGUUUAUGAUGAACAAGAGAACCUGCUAGAAGACAAGCUCAUUAAUUUCAUGAUACUUGCAAUUGUCCAAGCAAAACUCUAGUGAGAACGUGGGCGAUUGUGCAAAGAUCGGCAACCAAAUGGUGCCUUCUGCAACAAAACUUGUACAAGCUGGUGUACUAAAACGAGCGUGAACCCAUGGUUUUAUCAUGUUAUUCUUUACAGUUGAUGUACUAAAGUCAUGAUGUGGAUGAUGGUUUUGUUUUUUCAAACUAGCUUCCGUUCAUUUUCACUCGUCAAUUUGGCCUUCUAUUAUUGAUGUGACUUGGUGUCUGUUGAGUAGAGUAGCAGCAGAAAUAGUAUGUAUCAUGUGGCCCUGAUGAUUUUGUAUGGAGCUAUUGGAAUAUCAUUCGAAUUUAACAAA